UGAGAGGCAUUUUCAUCCGUCUCUUUGGCUUUGCUCCAACGGUUACUGAUCUGAGCAAUUGUGUUACCAGUAAGGGCGGAGGAGGCGGCUGUUAUCGCCUGCUUCACCGGGAACUGAUAACCACCUCCGACGAUGGAACCAGGCGAAGUCGAAUUAGAGCGAAUACGACGCCGUCGAGAUUCCGGUGACGGAUUCCACUUCCAGAAGCCGCUAAAUCCACUCCCAAUCCAAGCGCGUCCAUCCCUCUCGAAAAACACGCGAUUUUUUAGCUCUUAAGUCUUAUUCUUAUUUCAAGACCUAACAUGUGGUGUGAGUCUGAAACAAAGAAAAAGUGAAAACGCAGCGUUUCAUACUCAGUUUUCCCUUUCCC
rnacentral:lncRNA from 1 species